rnacentral:lncRNA from 1 species
AUUUUGGGUUUAGAGUUUAGGGUUUUGUAGGUGUUUUAAAUGGGUUUUUUGGUUUAUUUCAGGGUUUCGUAGGGUUUUAGGUUUGGAAUUUAGGGUUUAGGGCUUAGGUUUUUUUUUUUUUUUUUUUUAAUAUUUAGGGAUUUAUGUUAAGGGUUUUUCUAUGUUUUUAGGGUUUAGGGCUUUGGGUUUUUUAGGUUAAGGGUUUUAUCUAGGGGUUUCUGGGUUUUUAUUGUUUUAGGGUUUAGGUCAUAGGAUUUUUUGUGUUUUAUAGGAUUUAGCAUAUACGAUUUUGGGUUUUAUAGGGAUUACAACUUUGAGUUUUUUUAGGUUUAUGGUUUUUUAAGGGUUAAGUGUUUGGUAGGGUUUUUUAGGGUUUUGGUUUUUUUUUUAAAAAUAUUUUUUAGGUUUAGGGUUUAUGGAUGCGUAGGAUUUUGGGUUUAGAGCUUAGGGUUUUGUAGGUGUUUUAAAUGUGUUUUUAGGUUUAUUUCAGUGUUUAGAUGAUUUAAUGUUUAGGGUUUAGGGUUUCGUAGGGUUUUAGGUUUGGAAUUUAGGGUUUAGGGCUUAGGAUUUUUAUUAAUGGUUAGGGAUUUAUGUUAACGGAUUUUCUCUGUUUUUAGGGUUUAGGGCUUUUAGUUUUUUAGGUUAAAGGUUUUAUCUAGGGUUUUCUGGGUUUUAUUGUUUUAGGG